AUUAUUUUAGUAAAAUUUUAUUAUAUCGUCUUGAUAAGGCGGGGUUCUCUUAGAGAAGUAAUA
rnacentral:tRNA from 1 species